UUAGCUGAAAAAAAUAAAUAAGAGGAAGCCAGAAAAAAAAAAUCUUAAACGACUCAUUAACAGGAAGUUGUUUUUUUUUUUUUUUGGGGUAGAAAUUAACAGAAAGUUUUCCUGAUACUGAACUUGGCCGAGCUGCUGGUCAAAAAAAAAAAAAAAAAAAAUUGGCCGAGUUCAUGAGAAAGCAGAGUCGAGACCCGCAUUCAUCCGUUGCUCAUGGAAUGGUGAAAAGGGCGGGACAAUUGGGCACACACUUCAGAACACGCGUCGUACCCAAGCGAGUCAAUCAACGCUUAGCUGCCUCUCAUCUGGUUUCUUCUUCCUCCAUUUCCCUCCUUUUUCUUUAGGAGGCGACGCUAUUAACAGUCACUGUUCAGUCCUCUUCUGUGACGGCCCAGAGGAUCAAUUGAAUGCAUGGAGCACGAUGAUGGUAACAAGGUUCCACUUCAACUGGACUGGGAUCAACUCUUGCCCGAGCGAGACGAUGAGCCCCCACCCACGCUCAUCGUUAAGCCUUCCUUCUCCGAUUCUCUUUCUACACCCUCAAAAUUGACUGCCUCGGGUCUCGAUCAGCAAUCUCUAGUCGCUGAUAACCUAGAACGGUUAAGUGAUCGUGAUCUUACGGACUUACUUCAGAGGAAAAAGCGCACCCUGGAGACGGCUGGCCCGAAAUUGCCUGACAAAGGUGAAAAACUUCGAGCUCUUAUCAAGCAAUAUGAAGAUGAGCUGGCUCGCAGGAAAAGGAGACGUCUUGAUAAGUUCCCCCUCUUUGGUGAAUGUUCGUUCGUUCCAUUUUCUCUUCCCAAUGAGCAAAUAGUGCACAUGGAAGUUGAUGUGAAUGAGAAGGCAAGACCAGCUACGAGCUCAAGUGCUGUUGAGAGAGCAGAAAUUGAUGGGCUGAAAGUUAAGCUUGAUUCCAAUAAGGAACCUGAUGAUUUGAUGUCGUCUGGGAAGUGGCUAAAAGGUGGGUCUAUUGGCUUUAGGCAAGAAAAUGAAUCAUCAAAAGCAGAGCCGCCAUCCGCGUUUGCAUCUUGUUUUAAUAAUAAAUUGGAAGAUAUUGAUUGUCAGAAAACCAACGCAUUUAGUAGAGAGUUAUCACAUUUCAAGCAUUGUGACAAUCACAAGAUGAUACAUAAUGAAGACUUUUUGCUGAAGAAAAGAAAGAGAGAUCAAUCAUCUUCAAGACAAUUGCCAUUCCAAUGCCCUAGCAAUAUUUCCAGAUCUAAAACCCCAAGUGAUGAUAAAAGUCACAGAGCUGCUUCCUCAUUCUCUUUGCAAAAAAUUGGGGAAAAACUAUCUGGCUGCCUUCCAAAAUUGAAGGAUGCUUUUAAGGCAAUUCGAUCAGAUGGCUCAAGGUCUAGGAAGGAUCAGCUCAUUGUUCUUGAUGACGAGGACAAACUUUAUAAUUUGGAGGAAAUAGAUGAAGACGAAAAACCUGCUGAAUGCCUGAAAGAAGCUAGGAUUUUUUAUCCAUCGAGUGAUGAUCCAGAAUCUGUCGAAAUUUGUUGCACAGAUAUGGAUUGCCUUGCCCCUGGAGGUUAUUUAACAUCAACUAUUAUGAACUUUUACAUACGAUACCUACAGCAGCAAGCAUCUCUGACAAACAGAUCAGUGACUGACUAUCUUUUUCUUAAUACAUAUUUCUACAAGAAGCUCCAGGAUGCUGUUUCCUACGAGCAAAGUGAUAGAGAGACAUUCUUUGUGAAGUUCAGAAGGUGGUGGAAAGGUGUAAAUAUUUUUCAGAAGGCAUAUGUUCUAAUUCCAAUACAUGAGGAUCUUCAUUGGAGCCUGGUCAUUAUAUGUAUACCAGACAAGGAAGAUGAAUCGGGGCCAAUCAUACUGCAUUUGGAUUCUUUGGCUCUUCACUCAAGUAUAUCAGUUUUUCAUAAUGUAAGAAGUUUGGAAGCAUGUUAUGCCUGGGUUGACAGUUUGCAUUGCAAGUACCGGGAAUCAUUUUAAUAAAUUUAUGCCAUCGACAAAUUGAUAGAGCUUGUGAUUCCUGAAAGAUUCGGAUGUCAUUUUCUAAGGCCUACAGUAGACGAUCUAGGAAGGGAGGUGAUUUAGAGAAGACUAAGACCAAUGGUCUAGAGGUUUAUCCGAAGGUUUAUGAUUGUAAAAUUAAAAUGAUAAAAGAAAAGUCAAGUUACAUGUAGCCUGUGAUAUGGGUAGUGUUGGUAGGGGUAAUGACUAUUUUUUGACUCUUUAAAUAUGUACUUUCGUGCAGAGGGAGGGUGUGGAGUAUUUUGAAUAUUUGAGAGUGGUGAGGAGAGUUCUGGCAUCUGGAAUGCCAGGUUUGGGGUGGAGGAAGAUCAUCUUUCUUUAUCAUUUUUUCCUUCUGUUUUGGUGUGUUUGAGUGAUUUAUAUUUUGUGUUGCUGUUCUGUGGAGUGCAUUAUGUGCUGUUCCUUGUACUAUGUAAUCAUCAUUUGAUUGUAGUUCAGUCCUUAUUUUGCUCGUAAUGCGACCCUGUUAUUCAGCAAUAGUAUUUUUAGUUCCAUUUGAAGUGUAUUUUCUUGUUUAGCUUGUUUUUAAGCUUAAUAAAGUAGAGGGUUCCAUCACAAAUUAAGUGAGAUAAGUUAAUAUAUCAUGUUAAUCUCUCAUGUUCAAGAAUGAGAUGAAUGAUUCAAUGACAUAGUUCAAAUCACUUAAUUAGAUUUUUCUAUGAUCAUUCUUCUGGCCUGCCCAUAUAUCAUUUUACCUUGACAGAACUGCACUGUCUAAUCUGAGUAACUUCUGAAACUAUAACUGUUUUUGGCAUCUUAUCCUGUUAUACAUGUUAUAGAAAGUAGAAACCCGGCAUAGUUUGGGGUGAGUUUUUUACAUUGUUGUCAAGUCUGAUGAAAAUUUUCUGGUUGUGCAACUUGAUAAUAUGACAUGAGUUCUAUAAAGUUUUGCUAACUUCCAAUUAUUUAGUCUCUGCUAUAUCUCUUAUUAUAGUCUCUCGAUUGCUGUGUUUUGCACUUGCCUUUGAUGUGUAUAUCAAGCUUUGAGAAGAUGUGAACUUAUGCGCUGUAGAUAUUUGAUAGAAGAAUGGAGAUAUUUGGACCAAGAAUCUUCGUGUUCAGAUAUUCCUAUUGCAGAUGGAAUAUGGAAGAAACUUGACUCUAAGAUCGAAGAAAGAAUCAUCACGGUCCCUCAACAGAAGAAUGACUAUGAUUGUGGUCU